UCUCUGGGUUCCACGUGGAUGGCAUUCCCAUUUAGUUUGAGGGAAUUGUAUAUAGCAAGCUUCUUAUUUCUUUCCCUUGUACACUUGAAUUUUCCAAGUCCAGAUAGAAUGUCACAUGGCGUCAAAGUCCUAGCACAAAAAGGUUUUGAUGGAAUUCUUUAAGAAGCGGCUUCCCCCUUUUUUAUAAUUUUCUUUUGAAUUUUCAAACCCAUUUGACAUGGGACUUUGAACCAUUUUGACCUAAGACCCAUGUUUUCUUCCAAUCUGAUAGCAAGCUUUGCUAUCUUUUUUUUAUUUUUUUUAUUUUUUAUUUUUUAUGUGGCUUUAAGGCUUUUAAGUCCAACAACUUCUCUUCUUUUCCACGUGAGCAAGCUCCCACGUGAGGUGCAGCUUUAUUCAUCCUUCUUCCCCUUGCAAGAUGACUUCACAAAUCCUCUUUUUCCUUGGUUCUAACUUCUAACACACGAUGCUCUUCCACCAGAAGCAAAAGGCGGUUCCACAAUACUUGGGCUCCCGUGGAUUGUGUUAUAUUUCAAACUUCUAUUUCAAUUGGGUAUCUGUGGAUUUCAGAGUGAGAAUGGGUCAUGAAAACUUUCAUCUUUUCUGCUGCAUCAUUCUUUUGCUCGUGUGCUUCCUUUGUGGAUCGAAGGCUCAAAACGAAGCGGGGGAGAAAUCAAGCAGGUUACCCAUUUUCGUUUUCUUUACGUUCCGGGUUUGCUUACGUAUUUGGAUUGGAAUGAAACUCUAACUGCGAUGAACUCAUCAAUUCUUUCAUGCAAGAGUUUCUGGCAACAAUAUCUCUUCGAUUUGUUGAACAAACUAUUUUGCAGUACUUUGAAGAAAAGUGUUGAUUCAUGGCUCCAAAGGUGAGAAUUGCCCCCCCCCCUGAAUUUUGAAGUGACGCACUCCUCAUGUCUGCCAUACUUGAAUGAGUCUUUGGGUGUUUAAUGUAAAGGUUACCAUGUGAGUAAGCUUCUCAACUACUUUGGGAAUUUUGACAACAAGUUUUUCCUUCUCUGUGAAUUAGGGACACCUUGAACUCUUUUAAAUCCAACUUCACGUGGCAGAGAAGCAAAUAUCUUUUGGCUAUUUAGAGAUUGGCAAAUUUUCUUUCUUUCCUUUUGUCUUGUAGCCCCUGUCAGUUUUGUUUCAAUACCUUUGGUCAAAAUUUUGACACAAUGUUUGAUCAAAAUGAUAGCCAUACUUAAACAUGAGUCAGUUCCUUUUGUCUUGCACCCUUCGAAAGACGUCUUCUUCUUUUUGUGGAAAUCAAAGCUAUAUUGAGGACUUUUCUUUAUCAAAAUUUUGGCUUCUUUUCCUUUGUUCAUUUGUCAACGUAUGCACUUUUCCUUUGUUCCUGUGUCUCUUUUAUCCAACAUGAUGGCCACGUGAAUGGCUUUCAUGUUAUCUAAAAAAAAGAACUUUUCUUCUUCCUCAUUUUCUUGCGUGACCUUUCAGGUAUAGAACACCAGUAACAUGCCAUCCUCUUAGAUCAUGUUGUUCUAUUUUUGCCAACAAGCUUCUGCACCAUUGGUGAAGAAUAGGUUACUGUCAAUAUGUGGGGUUGAACAAAACCUGCUCUUUCUUUGUUGAAUCCAUUGCUUGUCGCGACAUUGAUGGUUCCCUUCUUUCUCGGCGUGGACGGCGAAUACGGAUCUCUUUAGAUUUGAUUGGAAUUUCACGGGGUGGUUUAGGCCACCCCAAAGAAAUUCAUGGGAUUCUGGGGAUUAUUUCUGUUGCUGUCAGUGGGGAGUUAGAGCUCCUAUGUGUUGGAACUUCACGGGGUGGUUUAGACCACCCUGAAGAAAUUCAUGGGAUUUUGGCAGUUUAUUUCUGCUGCCGUCGAUGGGGAGUCCAGAUCCUCUUCAUUUCACUUUUAAACGUUGCAAUUUUCUUGUAUAAACUGGAGGUUACAGACUCUAGGUAGUUGAUUACACCAUCUUUUUUCACUUUUGUCUGCAACACAACUUUUAAACAAGAGAAAUAAAUAAAUUGAUAGAACUUUGUUUCAUACCUGGUGAUGAAUGUUCUUCUUUGGAUCUUGAUUCAAAAGCACGAAUGGUUGAACUCCUUGUUCUAUUUUCUGGCAGCACUUCAUGGCUUUUGGUAUUUUCUCUCAAAGUUUCUCUAUUUUUCUGCAGAGUAUCCCUUUUUUUUUUUUUUUUUUUUUUUUGUUGUCUCCCUCUUGCUGCAACUGAGGCCUAUUUAUAGGAAUCUUAGGAAGGCUCUAGAGUUUUUUACGUGGGGGAGAUGGAGACCAUGUUUUUCUGCCACUUUCCCUUAAACCUCUCCCGCUGACUCUGCAGUUUUUUCCACGCCUUGCAGAAAAAUAAGAAGCUCCUAUGUUGCACGUUUCUUCCCCCUUUUGUAGGAAGAAAUUCUUAUUUUAUUUUCUAUUUAUUUAUUUAUGGAUGUUGAUUUGUAUGUAAGGCCUAUCCUCAUCUUUUGGGCUGGAUUACAUUUUGUUUUGCCUUGUAGUUUGGCC